AGCCAAGAUCUGAAAACAUCAAGUGCAAGUUUUACCUUAGGCUGUCCUCCAGGGUCUCCUCAUCUGAAGAGAAGGUCCCAUCGCUGACACUCGGAGGACAGCGGCUCCUGCACCCAGCAGACGCCUCCGGGGACCCGGAUGGGCCUUUCUUUUUCCUUUUGCCGAACAACUUCUUAAAUGGUUGGAACCUUCCUCCCUUCUUCUUGGCUGUGGAUCACAAGGUCUGCCUUUACGGAGCUCACAGAAAAUCAGAUGGGAAAAAGAAGUGGUUUCGACUACUUCGCCCUAAGCUGUGGCGUGAAAGAGUGAGGAAGCAGAAGGAACAAUCACCAGUUACAGAGACAGUCUGGGAUCCUUAAUACAGGGAACCUUUCAGAAUUUGAACACACUGCUGUCAUUAUCAUUCUCUAAAAGAGCAAAGAAAGAUGCUCCCCAAACCUGUUGGCUGCGGAAACUUGACUUUCUGGACAUCGAUCACAACUAGCGUUCCUUUGAAGGUACUCUGGGAAAUGAAGUCUUCAUUAUUCCUUUCAAAUGUCUUUAUACACAGCUCCCCCAAUUCCAGAGCACACUGCUCAUAAGCAUGAGUGAGUGGACUGCAACAUUUGGGGCCUUACUGGUUGGAUAAACGUAAUGUUUCAGUAAGGCUGUGAUUUCAAACAUGUAUGUAAAUAGCACAUAUUAGGAUACAGUACAGAGCAACUGCCUGCAUCCUAUAAGUUUACUACUUUAAGAGGAAUUUUGCAGGGCUUUUCUUAGUUCUGGAACCUCAUAAUACUUCUGAGGAGAAACUGUGGGAUUAAAAUAGAAUGACUAGAGGGGCCACUGAUGCACAAAUACUGGGUGGUUAGCACAUCUUUACAAAUACUGGGUGACUGGCAGAUCUUUACAAAUUCUGGAUGGCUGGCAGAUCUUUACUGGACCCCAUGGUCCCAGGGUAUGUCAGUUAAGACACAGGGACUGGCAACAUGUCUGAUGGCCUGCCCUCUCUGGGGUUGCAUGAUGACAAGACUGAGGACUGAGGUCCCCUUGCAGAGAGGAGGGCAGGGUGACAGGGCAAGUUACAGGGGAAAAGGAAUGCUUUUCUUCUUUCCUGGGGAAGCAUGGAGGGAGGUAUAUAUUGUUUUGCUUUGCUGAUUCAGAAAAUGAAGAUACAGGACCAACAACACAAUUUUAUUUUUUUUAUUUAUUUUUUUGCUUUUUAGGGCUAUACCUGAGGCAAUUGGAGGCUCCCAGGCCAGGGGUCCAAUUGGAGCUACAGCUGCCGACCUACACCACAGCAGCAGCAACGCCAGAUCCGAGCUGCGUCUGCGACCUAUACCACAGCUCAAGGCAACGCCGGAUCCUUAACCCACUGAUUGAGGUUAGGAAUUGAAUCUCAUGGUUCCCAGUUGGAUUCAUUUCCGCUGCACCAUGAUGGGAACUCCACAACAACACAAUUUUAAAAGAAGGUGGGGAUCCUGGGACAAAUUCCUGAGGAGGACAGAGACUGUGGCUUCCACAAGUCAGGGGUCAGAGGUGAGAUUGUGGCGACUGACCCGAUUCAGGGGUACCAGGCCCCAGGGCAGGUCCACAGCCUCCAUCUGCUUUGAUCCCUGGGCCAGAAAUGUCACUGCUUCCUCCCCAAGGUGAUGAAGUUCUAUUCAUCCUUCCAAAUCAAUGUCUUCGAAGCUGUUCCCAACCCCCCAGCCCAUUUAACCAAUCACAGCUCCCUCCGGCUCCCGUUCACUUUGCUAGUGCUUACGCUGCAUGACACCAUGUGUUAUGAGCUGAACUGGGUCUCACCAGAUUCACAGGUUGAAGCCCUAACCGCUCCCCUCCCAAAACCCUCAGAUGGUGACUGUGUUUGGAGAUGAGGUCUUUAAAGAGGUAAUUAAGGUAGAAGAGGCCAUCGAGCAGGCUCUAGCCCAACAUGACUGGUGUCUUUCAAAGAGGAGAUCAAGACACAGACACACACAGGAAGCCCACGUGAGGACAUGAAGAGAAGACGGCCAUUGACAAGCCACAGAAAGAGGCCUAAGGAGAAAGCAACACCGAUGACACCUGGCCCUGGACAGCUGGCCUGCAAACUCCUGAGCCCCCUGCUCAGCGGUACCGGUCACGGCAGCCCUCGCUAAGUAAUGCACCAGGUGGCGGCUGUGUGCUCCUACAGAGACCCCUCUGCAUCAGCUCCUCUGUGCCACUGUGUCUUUGCACCUUACAGAAGCUCUUCUCUGGGGAGUGCUUCUCUCCCUUUGCCUGGAGAACUCUGGCCAUCCUCCCACACACAACCCCAGGGCCACGCUCUCUGGAAGGCCUUCCUUGACCUCUGCCCAGAAAGAAUGGCUUCCUCCUGUUCUCUGCGUGUGUGUGUGUGUGUAGACACCUGUUGCACAGCGCAUGCCACAGCUCCUGGAUGCAAGUUCCCUGGACCCAGGGCCCACACCGCGUUCAGUCUCUACCUGCAGAACUGAUCACGACCCUGGCGCAAAGCAGACACUCAGUUUACAGAUGGAUAGUCCCUAGGCCCUUAGGGCCAGAUGUGCUGAGAAAUUGGAAGUUUUUAGAUUGCACAGAGGCAUAUUUAGACCCCAAUGGGGCUGUGACAGCACUUGAUAAUCACAUGGCAGUGUUUGUGGAAAACGCUUAUAUUCACCUUAAUUUUUGCUAACAGGAAUUUACGCCAAACUUACAAAGGACCUUUGGGAUUUUCAAAGUAUAGAUAAAGGAUGAUGAUCUCUUUAGGGGAUACGGCCAGCCUGCAAUCAAGCUGGAAAAUGCAAAUGUAAAUGUUCCCAUGUGAUUAAUAUACACUCUCAUCCACAAGAAAUACUAGGCGAGUACAGAAAAUUGCACCCAGCUGAAAUGAGGUGUGUAGGAACAUACAGAAUGCGUGCAUACAGAACACACACACACACAGUCAAACAUCUCCCAUUUCCCCCAGACUGCCACUUGUGUUAGAAGACACACCCACACACACGUGGUAUUACAGCUCUGUCUCCCUGUCCCCCGAAUGUCACAAUAACUCCCAGGUUGAAGCACUCUCAAGCUCUCGUCCACAAGAAAACUUUGGGUCUUUUUCAAGGUCAAGAACCAUAUUUAUUGUAGUAUCAGUAGAUUUUAUUACCAUUUAGCACGUAUAAAACUGUGCUGUUUUUUAUUAGGUUCCUACCCACUUAAAUACAUCACUGAGAAG
ensembl:lncRNA